rnacentral:rRNA from 1 species
GAUUAGAGUUUGAUCAUGGCUCAGGAUGAACGCUAGCGGCAGGCCUAACACAUGCAAGUCGAGGGGCAGCAUAGAAAUAGCUUGCUAUUUUGGUGGCGACCGGCGCACGGGUGCGUAACGCGUAUGCAACCUACCCUGUACUGAGGCAUAGCCCGGAGAAAUUCGGAUUAAUCCCUCAUAGUAUUAUUGAAUCGCAUGGUUUAAUAAUUAAAGGAUACGGUACAGGAUGGGCAUGCGUCCUAUUAGCUAGUUGGUACGGUAACGGCGUACCAAGGCGACGAUAGGUAGGGGGCCUGAGAGGGUGGUCCCCCACACUGGUACUGAGACACGGACCAGACUCCUACGGGAGGCAGCAGUGAGGAAUAUUGGUCAAUGGGCGCAAGCCUGAACCAGCCAUGCCGCGUGCAGGAAGAAUGCCCUAUGGGUUGUAAACUGCUUUUAUUUGGGAAUAAACCUCUUUACGUGUAGAGAGCUGAAGGUACCAAAGAAUAG